GUGGUACAGGAUGGUCCCGCGUCUGAUUAGCCAGUUGGCAGGGUAACGGCCUACCAAAGCGACGAUCAGUAGCCGGCCUGAGAGGGUGGACGGCCACAUUGGGACUGAGACACGGCCCAAACUCCUACGGGAGGCAGCAGUGGGGAAUAUUGCACAAUGGGGGAAACCCUGAUGCAGCGACGCCGCGUGAGUGAAGAAGUAUCUCGGUAUGUAAACUUCUAUCAGCAGGGAAGAAAAUGACGGUACCUGACUAAGAAGCCCCGGCUAACUAC
rnacentral:rRNA from 1 species